rnacentral:rRNA from 1 species
CCUACGGGAGGCAGCAGUAGGGAAUCUUUCACAAUGGGCGAAAGCCUGAUGGAGCAACGCCGCGUGCAGGAUGAAGGCCUUCGGGUUGUAAACUGCUUUUAUCAGGGAGAAAUACGAUGGUAACUUCUGACUAAUGAUCGGCUACCUACGUGCUAGCAGCCGCGGCCAUACGUAGGAUCCGAGCAUUAUCCGGGGUGACUGGGUGUAAAGAGUUGCGUAGGUGGCAUAAGAAGUAGCUAGUGGAAUCAGGUGGCUCAACCAUUCAGACUAUUAGUUAAACUGUUAAGCUCGAGACCGUUAGGGGUAACUGGAAUUUCUAGUGUAGGAGUGAAAUCCGUAGAUAUUAGAAGGAACACCAGUGGCGAAGGCGGGUUGCUGGGACGGAUCUGACACUAAGGCACGAAAGCGUAGGGAGCAAACGGGAUUAGAUACCCGUGUAGUC